UACGAAGGGGGCGAGCGUUGUUCGGAUUUACUGGGCGUAAAGCGCACGUAGGCGGCUUUGUAAGUAAGAGGUGAAAGCCCGGAGCUCAACUCCGGAACUGCCUUUUAGACUGCAUCGCUUGAAUCCAGGAGAGGUGAGUGGAAUUCCGAGUGUAGAGGUGAAAUUCGUAGAUAUUCGGAAGAACACCAGUGGCGAAGGCGGCUCACUGGACUGGUAUUGACGCUGAGGUGCGAAAGCGUGGGGAGCAAACAGG
rnacentral:rRNA from 1 species